rnacentral:rRNA from 1 species
CACGUAGGGUGCGAGCGUUGUCCGGAAUUAUUGGGCGUAAAGAGCUCGUAGGCGGUGCGUUGCGUCGGCCGUGAAAACUUGCAGCUUAACUGUGGGCGUGCGGUCGAUACGGGCAUCACUGGAGUUCGGCAGGGGAGACUGGAAUUCCUGGUGUAGCGGUGAAAUGCGUAGAUAUCAGGAGGAACACCGAUGGCGAAGGCAGGUCUCUGGGCUGACACUGACGCUCAUGCACGAAAGCGUGGGGAGCAAACAGG